GUUGGUGAACCAGCGGAGGGAUCAUUACCGAGUUUACAACUCCCAAACCCCUGUGAACAUACCAUGUUGCUUCGGCGGCUGCUUCGGCGCCCGCCGAGGGUCUAAACUAUAUCUUUAAACGAAUUAUCUGAGUCAAACACAAAUAAUCAAAACUUUCAACAACGGAUCUCUUGGUUCUGGCAUCGAUGAAGAACGCAGCAUCUGACUGACUCGGGCAUA
rnacentral:misc_RNA from 1 species